GAAACACAAAAUGGUUAAUUUUGUAAUAGUUAUCAUAUGUUGGAAUAUCCCCACCUCAUUCUAUUUGGGAUAUCCCAACUUAUUCUAUAACCCAACCAGUCAUCAUAAAUUUCAUAAUUACAUGAACUUAUUCUAUAAAUUGAGAGAAAACAUGCUAAAAGAUGGUUUGGUCAUGUAUAACAAAAACCAGUAGAUGCGAUGAGCAAGAAGAGAUAUGAUCACUGUAAAUAAUAUGUUUGGGAGAGUGGACGACCUAAAUUGACUUGGGAUGUGGUAGUAAACAAAUGAAAAUAGUUUAUUUAAUUUAACUCAACAUAUAGCCAUUAACAAAGCGGAAUGACAAAAUAAUAAUAAUAAUAAUCAUGUAGCCAACGUUACUUAUUGGGACACAACACAAGGCUAAGUUUGGUCUGUUGGGCUUAGUUUGGUU